UCAGACCACAGUAGGAUUUUAAAAAAAAAUUAACUUUUUUAUAUUAAAACAAUUAGAAAAAAAUAUAUAAAUAAUAAAUAUUAAAGUUGAUGUCCGUUGAGUCGUUGAUAGUAGAUGUACACCAAAACCUCGUGACAGUUGUCACAUAACCAUAUAGAUCAGGGAUGACCUUAUACAAGGCCGUUGCCCGUACCUUAUAAACUAGGGGAAUUGAUUUUUGAAAGGAGAAAAAAAAAAAAAAAUACACGAGUCCAUUGAAGAUGGAACACGCAAAACAGAAGAAACAGAUGAUGGUUAAGUUAAAUUAAGGGGACUUUAUUAAAAAAAAAAAACAAAAAAAAUUAAGUUAACACGAGGCAAAAAACCGAGUCUACAAAUUAAAGGGGACAAAGAAAGAGAGAAAAAAAAAACAGAUAUUAAUAAAAAAAUAGUUACACCUACACUUUUAUUAUUAUUAGAGAAUACGAUGAACGUCUUCGGGUACCCGCCGGCUAUUAAUCGCAGCAUUGCCGCUAAGCACGACAGGUAUACGUUCCAAGUAAGCGACUGGUUUCUGGCAGUUAGACUUAGCUUGCAAGACGUUGGGACACCCCGGAAUAAAAUGCACUACGUCACCACAUUGUACCAAUAAUAUAUACAUCACCCAAUAAAAUAUGACAUAUAACCUAUAUAAAAAAUAUAUAUAACAUGACAGGUGGUAUUGGAACACGCCUGCCAUGUUGAGGGACCAAAAUAAAAAAAAUGGGGCACCUACAAAAAAAAACUAUAUAAAAAAAUUCGCCACACGUGCUUAUGGCACGGCGCACUAAUAACAAAAACUGGCUCAAAACAUUAACUACUAAACGUAUACGUUACCAGCCCCUAAGGGCUCAAGAAGCUGGAGGCAGGUUUAGCCGACGCCAUUAAACAAAAUAUUUACAUAAUCACAACAUAGCGGACACUCGCGAAAAUAUAUAUAUAUAAUUAACAGUUGCAGCGCACACAACAAAAAAAAACCGCUGUGGACGAAAAUUAGCGACGACCCGUUCCGAUGAUGGCUAAUUUCCGACAACCCGUCCGACGUUUGACCCGGCGGUCCGUUGGCGACCAAACGGCUAGCCUUUAGAGUAGGGGUCAAAAAAUAACUAAAUACCCAGUGCCGGAAUUAUUAAAAACAAUUUAAAUCAUAUGGCGACAAUGUAUGCGAUGAGCAGUGCAAAUGACGUUCAAGAUAGGAAAGGAGCGGGGUGAAUGUACACACAAAUGCCGUCCAUGAACCGGUCUGAAGUAGUACACAGCUGACUAUGUCGCACGCGCAUAAACAAAUCACACACCUUAUCAUGAUAAUUUUACCAACAAACGCCGUCGCAGUCCGCAUUCGGCUCAACACAAAUGUAUAUAUACAAAUAGACAAAAAAAAAAACAACCAGAUACUUUUGUCACGUUACAAUAUAAUUGAUAUUUUCUUACUUUAUUUUCAGUAUUAGCGUUAUCAAACUAUUCAAGAACUAAGUAUUGUUGUAUCUUUUCUAUGUCAAUGCUACAUUCAUUUUCCAUUUCAAUAUCAUCAUCUCUCGUUUUAUCCUCACAAAGAUUAGAAACCAAUCAUAUUCUGUGUCUUGUUGACAGAGAUACAAAUGGUUUUUUUGACCUAGAUAAUAAUCGUUUUGUAGAAGUUAAUGUUAUUUUUAUAGCAUUAAAAAUAAUGAAUAAAGUAAUAUAUAGUAAAAAUAUUACUUUAUGCUUUAUUCGUGUCGUUGAUUUAAAAUACGAUUGGUAAUACUGAAUAACUGCUUUAUACACGCCAAUCGACGUGACGCCCGCCGUCAUGACGGUUAUCGACAAAUAGCCGUUUUGUUUUUACCCAUUCACAACGAUUCACAUGUUAUUUAACUUUAUACUUCCCAUUUAAAUUUGAUGUGUUUUAUGAGCGACAUGAAGUAUGUAUAUUAAAUGUAUUCUACUUUACUUUUAUGGGAUUAUGCUGAUAAUUUUUUUAAAAAAUUAUGAUUUUUAUUGUUUUAAUGAGUAAUCAUCGUUGGGUUUUUAGAAAGUAUAUAGUGUUUGAAUUUGAUGAUGGGCUGAGAGUUUUGCCAAAAAACUGGCUACAAAUUAAAAAUAAUAUGUUUUCUUCGACCAACAUCAAAUGAAAAAAAAUUCAACAACGCUGUUAAAAAUAUGUCUUCUCCAAUUUCCAAUUGGAAAACAGUCAAAUAUAACAAGAUUGUUGGAAUGAGUGAUUUAUUUGAAAAUGCUCAAAAAAAAACUCUCUAAUAUAAUACAGUACAAUUUUUCUGAAGCGGCUGAUAAUGAUGAAAAUAGUUAUCAAAAAACACAAAGAAAAUAUAGAGCAAAAAAAAUAUUUAUUUAAAGUGAUGAAUAUGUUACUGGAUCUCCAAGAAUCAAGACGUUUAAGAUGAAAACUCCAAAAGUUCCAAAAUUAACAAUACUGCCUUCAAACUUUCAUAGUAUGCUAUCUUUAUCAAAAUUUUAUUACAUUAUAAAUAAUUCUAUUUCAAUAUUUAUGUGUAUUAUUAUGUACAUUUAUUUAUA